UACAACGCACUACCUGUUCAUAGUAGUCGUUGCUGUCAACAGCACACUGCUCACCAUCAACGCAGGGGACUUCAUCUUCUACACAGACUGGGCGUGGACGUCCUUCGUGGUGUUCUCGGUGUCCCCGUUGACGUUACUUACUGUAGGCCAAAUCAGUUUAUUUUUAUCCACAGAGUUUCAAUCAUCCGCACCCUAUUACGCAACUAUCAUAACCUGCUACACAUUGGUUCCAACGUGCCAAUGGUUUGAACUUGUCUCACCCUCAGAAUUGGGCGACAGCACGCAACAAGCACGCUGACAUAGUGUUUGGCGGUACGCUGGUUGGCCUAACCUUCCCGCUGUUCAACAUGGUCAACCUGUUGCUUAUAAGGGACCCGCUCGAGGUUGCCUUCAAGUAUCCGAGACCGACUCUGCCCGCGUACAUGACGCCUAUAGAGCCUCAGGUAGGGAAGUUCUACAACUCGCCUGUCGCCCUGGGUUCAGGUGCCGGGGAAGUGCCAUCGGUACCCAUCGCUGCGUUGGGUGAAAAACUAAACACGUGG
rnacentral:rRNA from 1 species